CUGCUUCCCUCUGGUCCUUCCCCAUACCCCGCCUUGCCCCCCACAUCCAUUCCCUGUUUCCUUCCCUCCGGCGUCCUUUCGUUGACCCCUUCUCCAUCCCCCCUCCCGCAUUGUUUCUCCCAUUCUAAGGGGAAUGCCCUUCUCUCCGCCACCACUGCUGCACUGGGCCGUUUAUGUUGGGGGGGGGAUCUCAGCCUGGGGGGCAUGGCCCGCAAAGCGAUGUCAAGGGGUCACAAGCACCCUCCUCAGCUCCUCUCUGCAUGGGGUGCUGGGUGUGGGUGUAGUCUGGAGGGGGGAGUCCAACGACGCUGAUGGUCCGGGGAUGGAAAAGGCAGAGACCCACCAUUCUGCGGAGCGCCUUCUGCUUGACCUGGGUGUAAGGGACAUCAAAAUGGGACCACCCGGAACUCCCUGUGCCAACCCCGCAGCUGGUGGAAAUCAGAGUUGCUCCAUUGCUUUACCCCAGCUGAGGCACUGGAGGUGGAGCUGAUGAGGGGCACAGGCUGGGCCCUGGGACUCAUCCGCACUGUAGCCCAUCCGUGUGGACACCUCUUCUCCCAGUUCGGCAUCGCCCUCCCUGAUCCCACUGGGAGUGUGUAGGGGGGAAGGGGAUGUGCUAGGAGGUCCACGAAUGGCUUUCAGUCCUCUCCGGCAUUCUGGAUCAGCUUGGUGCCAGCUUGCCUGACCUUGGGUCUCUUUUGUUCCAGCUCUGACAGUCCGAUUCCUCACCCGGAGGUUUAUUGGUGAAUACGGGGAUAUUGAAUCCAUUUACACCCACAACGUGAUGGUCGGGGGCCGAGAGGUUUGCUUCAGCAUCUGGGACUCUGUCUGCCCCCAGGGCUCUGAGCUCCAGGGCUGGGUGAGCGAGAAGCAGCUGCGUUGGGCCGACGGCUUUGUCCUGGUCUACAGCAUCUGUGACCGCUCCAGUUUCCACCUGGCCCGGCAGCAGCUCCAGCGCAUCCGGCAGCUGAAGAGACGGGGCAGUUCGGAGAAAGCGCCCGUCAUCCUGGUGGGCAACCCUGCAGCGUCGGCGGGCCGUCUCCAGCGAGGAAGGGCGGCUUUUGGCCCUCUCCAUGAACACGGGUUUCUUCGAGGUCUCGGCCGCCGAGACCUACCAGGGUGCCCUGGUGGUCUUCCACGAACUCCUCGACAUGGUGCGGGACUCGCGGAGCUCGGGCAAGAAGGCUCCGUGGCAUUGUGCGGAGCAUGUCGGCCGUCUUCGGGAGGAGGAGGACAGAAUGAGCGAGGCGGGGUCCCGCGAGGAGAGCUUGGAUCCUAGGGACAACGGAACGUAGCUGGAAGCAUGCGCCAGCGGUCAGGCUGUGGGCGGUUCCUCGGUGUGGCACCCGCUGAGUCCCUCGGAGAGCGUACGACAGAGGUGGCAGCCAAUGGGGGAGCAUUUCUGUGCACGUGUCCCGAGUCUGAUCUGAUGGGAGCUUUGGCUGGGGUCUGCUGGCGUCUAGAGAGCUCGGCCAUCUGCCAAAGGGCUGCCUUCCCCUCCCAGCACGGCAUGUCACAGCCUCCGCCCUGGGCAGCAGUGUUACUCGUUAGCGAUGUAAUUGGGUGGCAGUUACAUCCCGCCUCCCUCCCCGUGCCCGCUGUUCGUUUCCACUGGAGGAAGGAUUCUCUGCAUGCCCCUUCCUAACGUUUGUGAUUCGUGGCUGUUAAAGAGCAGCUGCGCUCUGCCCCAGAAGAGGGUGCAUUUGAAAGGGUGGGCGAACGAACUAUGUUUACAGGGAACCAGAUUUGUCAAGUGGAUAUUAGGUGCCCAAUUGUCCCCCGACCGCUGUGCCUUGUGGAAGCAUUCACACCCAGCGCAGAGAGGACAUGCAAGGCUAACAACCCUGAAUGGCUGCAUUUUACAGGCCAAAAUCCCUGCAAGAGGACGAUUACACUGUUCCCUGGAAGUGCGUCGGAUUUGGAACAUAAGGCACAAGGCAGUGGAGAAUGACACCCAGAGCCCAUGUUUGGAUGAUACAGUCUGUAUAUGGGGCCUGAGCCUGAAUUCAGGCUCAAGUCCCAUUGGAGUCAGAGGCCACGGUGAUGGGCAAGGUACAAAAAACCUUUGAGGCUCAAGCAUCGAGCCUGCUCAGUCAAAGGAAUGACUGGCUGCAGCACCUACAAGCUUGAAGCACAACAUUUAUGCACUUUUAAGGGUCCCCCCAUUUGAAAACCGGGCUCUAAAUCCUCUGGUACUAGGGAGAUGAUUACAAAUGUUGGUGAUUAAAUCAUGGGACUCGCGGGAGUUUGAGUUAUUCACACCACCCCAUUGGGUUGCCUUGUUUUUUCUGCUGGGUUCCAAAUUACUUUUCCUGCUAAAAGUGAUCUGAUCUCAAUUCGGUUGGUGUGAACCCAUGGACUUUAAUGGAGUCACUCUGGAUUUACACUUGCUGUAACUGAAGCAGAAUCUAAGGCAUUGUGCAACUCGUCAGUUACACCAGUGUAAAUCCACAGUCACUCCACUCCAGUCAUUCUGAAUUUACAUCCAUGUAACUGACAGAGGAAUUUGGCCCUUUUAAUGUGCCUGGUUAAGCAACAACAGUGGCAUUUGUCAUCCUCUGCAGCACGGGCUAGUGAUAGAAAUAGGGCUGAGGACUUCAGGAUUGAACUCCUAGUUCUGUCACUGAUUUGCUGUGUGACCUUGGGCAAAUGAGAGCCUUCCCCAUGCCUCAGUUUCCUCCUCUGUAAGAUGGGGGUGAUAAUGCCUACCUCACAGUUUGUGAGGGUGUGAGGCUUCCUCACUUGCAAAAUAAACUUGAUCCCCCCCCUCCAAAGCCAAAUUCUCCACUUGGAAUAUUAGAACCAUAGUGUUGCUGAUAGACAGGACUUCCACUAUUUAAAGGCGGGUCAGUUUAAAUGCUGCCUGUUCCAGGGGGAGUGGAAGAUGGAAUUGUCUUCAGCAGCUGGGAUAUAAAUCCUCCCAACUAAAAUGUGAAAUGUUGUAUAUUUGUGAAUAACAUAAAUAUUUAACUUAUUUGGGAGCGUUCUGCAUUGGCGCGAAUGUUUACAUCCAGAAAUUUUUAUUGUCAAAAUAUUCUCUUUGCACGUUAUAAAAGAAAGAUGUGAUGGUGGAAAAAUUAUUUUUGGA